AUUGAACGCUGGCGGCAUGCCUUACACAUGCAAGUCGAACGGCAGCACGGGGCAACCUGGUGGCGAGUGGCGAACGGGUGAGUAAUGCAUCGGAACGUACCUUUCAGUGGGGGAUAACGUAGCGAAAGUUACGCUAAUACCGCAUAUUCUGUGAGCAGGAAAGCAGGGGAUCGCAAGACCUUGCGCUGAUUGAGCGGCCGAUGUCAGAUUAGCUAGUUGGUGAGGUAAAGGCUCACCAAGGCGACGAUCUGUAGCGGGUCUGAGAGGAUGAUCCGCCACACUGGAACUGAGACACGGUCCAGACUCCUACGGGAGGCAGCAGUGGGGAAUUUUGGACAAUGUGGGCAACCCUGAUCCAGCCAUGCCGCGUGAGUGAAGAAGGCCUUCGGGUUGUAAAGCUCUUUCGGCCGGGAAGAAAUCGCACGGGCUAAUACCCUGUGUGGAUGACGGUACCGGAAUAAGAAGCACCGGCUAACCACGUGACAGCCGCCGCAGUAA
rnacentral:rRNA from 1 species